rnacentral:rRNA from 1 species
AUACGGAGGGUGCAAGCGUUGUUCGGAAUCACUGGGCGUAAAGGGCGCGCAGGCGGUUUGGUAAGUCAGAUGUGAAAGCCCACGGCUCAACCGUGGAAGUGCAUUUGAAACUGUCAGACUUGAGUACUAGAGGGGAAAGUGGAAUUCCCGGUGUAGAGGUGAAAUUCGUAGAUAUCGGGAGGAAUACCGGUGGCGAAGGCGACUUUCUGGCUAGAUACUGACGCUGAGGCGCGAAAGCGUGGGGAGCGAACAGGAUUAGAUACCCCAGUAGUCC